AAAAAAAAAAAAAAAAGAAAUAAACCUAGAAUACAGAAUUCUUUCAGGAGGGUUUCAAUCUCUGGUUUUACAUGACAACAAUAUAUAAUAUUCCAUAAUAACUUAUUAUUAUUCUCCCCUCCUUAAUAAAAUUUAUUACGAGUUCAUAUUCAGUAAAUAUAAGACAAUCAUGUCCUGCAACUUUCAUUUACAAAAGCAAAGAAAAGUAAAAAGAUACUCAAAGGAAAGCCUUUCCACUACUAUAAAUUGAUGUGUCAGCCAAAAAAAAAUAAUGAAGAAAAUGCAGCUCAAGACUGGGAGGAAAUUAAGAUUCUCAGCUGAAGGAGGAUUUUGCAGGCGGUGGUGAAGGAAGUUUAAAAUUUAUCAAAGUGUCAAGGAUCAUUGGAUACGCUUGUAUUGAAUUUUUAACACACAUUUCUAUAGCCCAAGUGAUGGCUAAUAUUAGAAAAAUCUUUUUCCUUCAAUGCUAAUGUAAUGAUUGUUCUGUUGCUUUUGAGAUCAUUUUGGAAUUUUUUUUUUAAUUUUUUUAUCUUACUGCCGAGGCACAUGCAUCUAGUAGUUGUUUCAACCCAAGCUCCUACUUGAUCAUAAAUGAUGUCUGAGAAGAAAUUUAUCUGGGGAAGAAUAAAUUGGUUUUCGAUAUUCUCAUAUCUCAAGUGUGUUUGUCGUUUCUUUAACCCAACAAGUCACUGGAUCAGGUGUUGAAUGACAUGAUUCAAGAUGACGGGGAUCCUCCAAAGAAGAAGCUUUACGAACUGAAGAUCUCCUUGCUUGAUGAGAUUGGAUGGAGUCAUUUGGCAACCUACGAGAGACAGUGGAUGCACGUGCGUUUUCCACCAAGCUUGCCUC
rnacentral:misc_RNA from 1 species